rnacentral:lncRNA from 1 species
UAAUUACCUUACUCAGGAUCAAGAGUCCCUGGCUGUGCUAUAGUUGGCUCCAACCCGACCCUACUCUCUAACCCCAUAGGCCAAAUCUCUAAAGAUGCUUAAGAGGUAAUAUCACAAUGGAAGUCAAUGAUGAUUUUGUGGGUGGAUUUGGGAUGCAGCCCACGCAGCCGUCGGACAAUAGGCGCCGGAUGCACGAGGUCCAGCUGCAGCUAUGAUGCAGCCAACGAAUGACAAGUGAGUGGCAUCAUCAGCCAUUGCACUGGUUCAUUAGAUGAGCGGUACAUUUUAAACGUGCCCAGCAACGUUUGCAGUGCUGCUGGUGAUAAGGCCACCAAAGCGUUUGAGGAAUUCCUGGCCGUCAUUGGAAUGGAAUAUGACGACUUUGCCGAGUUCUAUGGCAACUUGGCAACAAAGGACUUCACCAUCGCGACCACGCUCCUCAUGCCAUGGCUGCACACCUGGGCAGCACCAAACCCAAGCAACAACCCAAAGUAUGAUGUUGUCUCAUGCGAAGUAGUAAAAUUUGGCUUGCAUGUUAGACAAUGCAACUGCUUGCUUGCAUGAUCUGCAGGACUCAAAUGAGGGGGUUGCAACCCCAUAUGGUAAACUUGCUUCAGCAGGCAUGUGUACAGAAGCGAGAAACGGGAGCUGCAGACGGCAUCAUCC